AAUGUAAAAGGCAGUGUUUGAUUAGGGGAUAGGGAUAGAGAUAGGCCAAACGUUAAUUUUUUAUCCGAGAAUAGUAGUUCUCGGUUAUCCCCACCAACACCUCCAUUUUAUAUAUAAAACUAUCUAAUAUUUUUCUUAUCCUCGGAAACAACCUAAUUUUCAUCCAAACGCUAUUUUUCUUAUCCCCAAACUUAUACCUAUUCCUGUAAUAGCUAGUUCUUGCUUAUACCCGAACCAAACGGUACCUAAAAAUCUUAACGGCCCAGUUACAAGAUGUCUUGUCAAGUCAGUUGUGUCCAUCUCCUAUUCUAUUGUAUUUUGUACCUAAAAAUCUUAACGGCCCAGUUACAAGAUGUCUUGUCAAGUCAGUUGUGUCCAUCUCCUAUUCUAUU
rnacentral:lncRNA from 1 species